UUUAGGCUUAAUUUGAUUCUCUUAGAAGAUAUGUGUUGUGUUUGAAUGCUGAAUGAGAACUAAUUGGAAUGGACGCUAUUUACAUUUACUUCGUUCUCUAGUCUACGCCCUUACCUGGAACAAACAGAACUAAACUCUCAUAUAUGGAGGUUUUUUGUCAUUAUUUUUCUAAAACUUUGGGGAUUAAUUUGUUAUCAUCAGUGACUUUUAUUUCGAUUGACGGUUGCUUACUAGUUUUGGUAAGGAUUUUAACAGUAAUGCCCGUGUUUG
rnacentral:misc_RNA from 1 species